CAAAAACAUGUCUGUUUGAAGGUAUAAAAAGUUUGGCCUGCCCACUGAUAAAUUUUUAAAGGGCCGCAGUAUUCUGACUGUGCAAAGGUAGCAUAAUCGUUAGUUUUUUAAUUGAAAUCUUGUAUGAAUGGUUUGACAAAAGAAAAUCUGUCUUUAUAAUAUUUUUUGAAUUUAACUUUUAAGUGAAAAGGCUUAAAUGAAUUAAAAAGACGAUAAGACCCUAUAAAGCUUAAUAUUAAAUUUUUAUUUAAUUGAAUUUUGAAUAAUAUAAAAAUUUAGUAAUUAUAUUUUAUUUUAUUGGGGUGAUAAUGGUAAAAUGAUUAUUAACUGUUAGUUUUUUUUAACAAAAAUAAAUGGAUAAAUUUUAUUAAUAAAUGAUCCUAUAUUAAAGAUUAAAAGUUUAAGUUACUUUAGGGAUAACAGCGUUAUUUUUUUUGAGAGUUCUUAUCGAGAAAAAAGUUUGCGACCUCGAUGUUGAAUUAAAAUAUCUAUAUAAUUGUAGCAGUUAUAUGAGAAGGUCUGUUCGACC
rnacentral:rRNA from 1 species